CCUACGGGUGGCUGCAGUGGGGAAUAUUGGACAAUGGGCGAAAGCCUGAUCCAGCCAUGCCGCGUGUGUGAAGAAGGUCUUCGGAUUGUAAAGCACUUUAAGUUGGGAGGAAGGGCAGUAAAUUAAUACUUUGCUGUUUUGACGUUACCGACAGAAUAAGCACCGGCUAACUCUGUGCCAGCAGCCGCGGUAAUACAGAGGGUGCAAGCGUUAAUCGGAAUUACUGGGCGUAAAGCGCGCGUAGGUGGUUCGUUAAGUUGGAUGUGAAAUCCCCGGGCUCAACCUGGGAACUGCAUUCAAAACUGACGAGCUAGAGUAUGGUAGAGGGUGGUGGAAUUUCCUGUGUAGCGGUGAAAUGCGUAGAUAUAGGAAGGAACACCAGUGGCGAAGGCGACCACCUGGACUGAUACUGACACUGAGGUGCGAAAGCGUGGGGAGCAAACAGGAUUAGAUACCCCGGUAGUC
rnacentral:rRNA from 1 species